GGUCCUGACGACUUGGCAGAAGCAGACGAGAUGUGGUCUGUUUGCAUGGGAGUGUGGCACGUUUCUGCCUUCAGGAGAUGAUAAUGCAUUUGUGUUUGUUUAUGGCUGAGAGAAUGCUGAACUCGUUGAGUCAGAGUUAAGCCAGUGAUGCAAGAAAAACAAGAUGAGUUUGGAAAGAGGUAGAAAAACAGAGUGUAUCACAAUAGCCUCUCUGUAUCUUUGCUCUUCCUCUUCACUGAUAUAACCCUCUGAUCGGAAGUCUGACCAGAUAUAAGUCACAUAGAUCAGUAAAAGCACAGUCCAGUCAGCAGCUCCAGCAUGGACUCCAGUGUCUGUCCCUCCAGCAGAUUUCCAUCAGCAGCAGCAGCCAGGCAUCCGGUCUUUAUCGCUAAACGCUAGCAGCUAGCAGGGGCGGCUCCAUUGCAGAAGACUGGGUGGACAGAGGUAGCAUGUUGAAGAAAUGCAUAGCCAGCCAACAGAGAAGAGCAGAAGGUUGAGGUAGAGGAAUACGAGUUAAAGAAGACAAGAGGACGAAGAACUGUGGAAGAGAAGGAGCUCCAAGCAGGCAUCCAUGGAAGCUAAAGAUGAAGAGGAGAAAAAUUACGAAGACAUGGACUACAUGAUGCCCUUCAUCACAGGGUGUUCUGGAAGUUUCAGCGUGACUUCCACAAGGACUGUCCCAUCAAAUUAAUGUCUACAUUGACCAACUUGACAACGACAUGAAAUAUGACAGUCAUUGCCAAAACUCAUCGAUCUAUUCCACCACAAACAGAUCUGAUAACACAACAAAUAGUCAUUCUAAAUCAUUCUGCUCUGAUGGCAACAACAUGCACGCUUGGUAAUAAAACAACAACAGAAAAGGAGAUAUUUUCUUUACUACAUUUAAAAUACAGAUAUCAAUUGCAUUUUUUGCAUGUUUAAUUUAGUCUUUUUCCUUUUGUAUCUAUACGUUUCUUUUUGAA